GUCUCUGUGGCACAAUCGGUUAGCGUUUUCGGCUGUUAACCGGAAUGUUGGUGGUUUGAGUCCAACCGGGGACG